AACGCACCUUGCACCCUUUGGCUAUUCCGAAGGGUAUGCCUGUUUGAGUAUCAUGAACACCUCAACUCUCAUGGGUUCACCAUGAUGAGCUUGGACUUUGGAGGUUUUGCUGGCUUACGGUCGGCUCCUCUCAAACGAAUCAGCUUACCAGCGUCUGGUGGCUCACAGGUGUGAUAAAUAUCUACGCCUGUGGUCUUCUGCCAGGUAACCUUUAGCGAUGGAGGUUCGUUGGAGCUUACAGACGUUCUCCCUCAGCGAGAACAGCUCUUUGAACGUUUGAUCUCAAAUCAGGUAGGACUACCCGCUGAACUUAA
rnacentral:rRNA from 1 species